rnacentral:tRNA from 1 species
GGGGACGUAGCUCAAUUGGCUUAGAGCAUGCGGUUGAUAACCGCAAGGUUGGUGGUUCGAUGCCACCCGUCCCUACCA